AAUACCGCGUGCGGGAGGAAGGCCCUUGGGUCGUAAACCGCUUUUGUUAGGGAAGAAAAUUUGACGGUACCUAACGAAUAAGCCUCGGCUAACUCCGUGCCAGCAGCCGCGGUAAGACGGAGGAGGCAAGCGUUAUCCGGAAUUAUUGGGCGUAAAGCGUCCGCAGGUGGCAUCUCAAGUCUGCUGUCAAAGCCCAGGGCUCAACUCUGGAUCGGCAGUGGAAACUGAGACGCUAGAGUACGGUAGGGGCAGAGGGAAUUCCCAGUGUAGCGGUGAAAUGCGUAGAUAUUGGGAAGAACACCAGUAGCGAAAGCGCUCUGCUGGGCCGUAACUGACACUCAUGGACGAAAGCUAGGGGAGCG
rnacentral:rRNA from 1 species